CCCGAGGCGCGAGAGACGCGCAAAACUCUGCAGCCAAUCAAAGGGAAGAAUCAGUUUCGCGCCUCGGGCGCCUCCGGCUACCCCCCUCGCCUGCCCCCAGCGCGAGGGCGUCAGUAAGGCCCAUCCGCUCGCGCCCAACGGCCACCCGCGGCCGUCCCAACCACUCUGGGCGAUAGGAGGGGAGAUAAAUAGAGAGGAGAUCGAGCCUGCACCGUGCGGAGCAAUGCCUAAGUGGCCACCCUAAUAAGGGGGCGUAGUCUCAUCCCCCUCCCCAUGUGAUAUUUAGGAGCACCUAUACCUGUCGGCAGCGCACUAGUCAUGCACACUGACUAAUGUUCUAGGUAACUGAAUGAGCUCACAUACUCAGUACACUUGUCAGAGGCACAUAGCCUAGAACUGCAACUCCCACCAGCCCCAGCCAGCAUGUCCAGUUGUCAGGGAUUAUAUCUGAAGGGUGCCACACUGGCAAUCCCAAAGAGAACCUGCAACUAAUGCUUUUAAAAAGGGAAAGGAAAUUUCUUCCUUUGCAAGUAACAAUUGAAGAGCAGGCCUUUAAAUGUUGCUGUGAAUCUUGGGACUCCAGUGGUGAGGGGAAUAGUGCUGUGUGUAUGUGCGUGUGCUAAAGCAGCACUUUACACAUCUCUGGUUUUGCUCAGAACUGGAAGCAGAGGAUGCUCCUUUGCCCAUCCUUUUCUGCUGCAAGCGGUAUCACCAGGAUUCAGGAAAGCAACACCCCAGGCCACCACAUUCGUGUGAACAGUUAUCUCUGGUUUAGCAAACGCAGCUAUGAGUUACGUAGGCUGUCACAGAUGUUGCUGCUAUCGUGCAGAAAAACUUGAGGGUUGCGUUAAUCAUUCUGGCAUAACUGCUUCCCUUUGGUCCAGACCAUCUUCAAGGGUAACUCCAUAUAAUGUGCAUUAGAGUAAACUGGGAGGUUGUCAGGGCAUGGAUUACUGUGGCUGGGCUAUCCUGGUCCAGGAGUAGCUAGUGAACCAGCUAGAGCUGGAGGUAAGUACUUCUAGCCACUUGAACUUCUAUCGACAACACUGGAUUCAGGAUUACCACCAAGCUACGCACGUCCUGCUUCAAGGCCAUUGCAACCCUAUCACAAAGAGGUGGCCCACUCCCAGUUCCCAAACAGAAGACACACCCACCCUUCCACCUUGUUCCAUUCAGUUUCUGUUGGUCCUGCUAAAAAUCAACCAGCUGUGGCAUGUCUGCUGAAGCCCAGCUGAAAUGGGUCAAGCCAAUGUUUCCUCCAUGCACAUCUCAAGUUGGACAACCACCACCCUUUCAUGACCAUUGCACCUGAAAGGAAUAUUUGUGAAAUGGGUGGUAGCUGUCUCACACUGGAUCUGGGAAGGGCUUCUUAAGAAGCAGCUGCAUCACCUCAUCCAUGACAACCUAUACCACAUAUUUCUCCCCCAAAGAAGCAUAAACCAUUCUCCAUAUCCACUCAGUCAGCUUCUUCCCACUAACAUAGAAGUCAGUGCUCCAAUGCAGAAUAAAUGAAGUCACAUAUGGAGAGGAAUUUGGGCUGUUGGGAGUUCCAUUAUCCCUCUUCUGUUUGCACUGGGAACCGUUGCAUUUCUAACAGCAGCUAGGAACAUCCAUCUAUGCUUGCAAAAUGUAAGCUGAAUUUACCAGCAUUUAAUAACGUAUUUCUGUCUUGGUAUCAGAUGAUAUGUGUGUCAGUGAUUUCUUGGGUCUACCAUCUGCUCACAUGCUUUUAUCAAUUAGAGAGCACUAAGCAGAAAACAAACACCUUGGCAAGGAUACGGAUUUGAUAUUAAAAACCGCUUCUUUUUCUGUACUGGGAAUUGUAUAUAAUGAAACCCCAGCAUGAGUUCUAGCAGAAUCCUGGCCUUGAAUUUGUAAGUGGAGUGGGUGGGUGGGGUAAAUAUUUCCUGAAAGAAAUGGUAUGUCUGAUCCUGCAGGUCCUUAAAUGAAUAAUUGCACAAUGAAAAAUUUAACUUUACUGGGACUAUUCAUGUACGUAAUGGCUAUUUGUAUGAAGGAAGUUCUGGAGUUUGAGCAUUAAAAUUGUAUAAUCCA